rnacentral:rRNA from 1 species
GGCCUACGGGACGCAGCAGUGAGGAAUAUUGGUCAAUGGUCGGGAGACUGAACCAGCCAAGCCGCGUGAGGGAGGAAGGUACAGAGUAUCGUAAACCUCUUUUGUCAGGGAACAAAGACUGGGACGCGUCCCCGGAUGAGUGUACCUGAAGAAAAAGCAUCGGCUAACUACGUGCCAGCAGCCGCGGUAAUACGUAGGGGGCAAGCGUUAUCCGGAUUUACUGGGUGUAAAGGGAGCGUAGACGGCAGGGCAAGUCUGGAGUGAAAGGCAGGGGCCCAACCCCUGGACUGCUCUGGAAACUGUCC